rnacentral:rRNA from 1 species
UACGGAGGGUGCAAGCGUUGCUCGGAAUCACUGGGCGUAAAGGGCGUGUAGGCGGUUUCGUAUGUCUGGCGUGAAAGCCCCGGGCUCAACCCGGGAAGUGCGUUGGAAACUGCGAAACUAGAGUCUCGGAGAGGAAGGUGGAAUUCCAGGUGUAGCGGUGAAAUGCGUAGAUAUCAGGAGGAACACCCGUAGCGAAGGCGGCACUCUGGGCCGAUACUGACACUGAGGAGCGAAAGCGUGGGGAGCGAACAGG